UAUCCCAGAGCAUCUUUUGACAAGCUGUCAAAAACCUGUUGCACGCUACAGCUGACCGCAAAUGGUUCCUUCAGAACAAAGCUGAACCAACUUCACUCCUUAAGAGUCCUCCAUAGACGCAAAUAACUACCUAUCAUGACCUGGAGACAUCUCGAGACCGGCCUAGUCGGCACUGCGGUUUCUUCUACAGACUUCGGUACCUUUGGGGUCCCCGCAGGGGCGCCGUAAAGCGGUGAAAGAUUAGGAAGAUUCUAAGGGCUCACAGCUGUCAGGGGCCCAAAAAAGUUUCAAAGUUGAAUAAAAAAAUAAAGUUAAAAAAUCACAAGUACCUUACUUUGCAGUAUUUUUCUCAUUUAAGACAUUAAACAAACAAUCUUUUGGUCUUUAUGAAAUGUGUAUUUAUUCAGAGGUCCCUACUUUAUUUUGACUAAUUAAUUUGAACCCCCCUUCCUAACGGCAUAAAAUGGUACAGUCCACCUGGCCGAGGGGCGCGUAGCAGGCCAGGCCAGCUCACGCAGCAGUCAGACAGCAGAGUGCGCCAUGGCUGCAGUAAAUAUGUCUGCAAAAACAAAGUCUGGGUCACAGAAAAGGAAAGAAAGAAAGGAGAAAGGACAGGCAGAAGAGAGGGCAUCAGUAUGUCACACAGUUUUUCUCAAAGAAAGGUGGGUUUAGUUGGUGAGUGGUUAAAUUCAACCUGUUUGCUAGCUCUGAUAUCCACAGUGAGUGGAACUAUGUUUCAUCUAAUAAUGGUAAAUGGGUUGCUGUCCUUGUCCCUACCAGAAUCAGCAGCUGAUGAUAUGUCAGCAGGUGUCCCCUCACAACCCAAUGAACCUCAAGAAAGUGAGCAAUAUAGCAUGUUAGCUAGCAGCCUCAUUUAAGGGGGUCUGUGGGAAUCACUUAAGGCUCUCUUCUCUAUCAGUACUAUUACAAAGGAACAUAAAAGGCUAUUUUUGGUGAUAAUCACAUUGUUUUUCCACAUAAUGAUAAUUAUAUAUAUCAAUCAGAAAAAAUGUAUAGAUUGUUUUGGAUGCUGGGCAGGUUGAAGCAUUGUUAUUUAGUCCGUAACUAAGUUUGUCUCUCAGGAGCAUUAUUAAUUAUAUCACUGUAAAUAAUAAAUCUUGAUGUGUACAAUCAAGGCUGAAUGUAUUUUUAGCUGGUUUUUUGUUGUUGAGAAAAAUGGGUUUCUAGAGACUUAUAUACGUAGUCAUGCAAAGUUAUCCAACUUUAAAAUGUUAUGUAACCCUAAUUGACUCCGGUUUGAGCUGUGUGCUAAUUCAUUUUGUGUCUAUGAUGAAGCCAUGGAGACUUAAAGAGCGGGUCAAUUGAGCCUCAGAGUCAUUCUCUACCCACGUAUCAAUUUUAAAAAAUGCAACAUUAGUAGGCGUUGCCUGGAGGACCGAGAGGGCGGAGCCGCGGCAGUGACGAAGACGACGGCUAACUAGACGAUGCUAGCUCCCUUCACUCUAUGCAGUUAUUAGAAGUGGAGGAUGUUUCUCCCCCUCCUUACCCAGACACUCGAGAAGAAAGGGACCAAGUCUAUUUGGAGGAGACAAGCGGACCUGAGCCUUAUUGUUGUGAGCUUGUGAGUUGCCUGUAACUCCCAGAACCGACCCAACAGAACCACCUCUGAACGUCCUCUGGUGUCUGCAGCUGGUCUCUGGUGUCUGCAGGUGGUCUCCUCUGCUGGUGCCAUCAGGAUCAGGAGCUUCCAGAAGAAUGUGCCUUUCAAUGACUCUUUCCUCCUUAUUUGUUAUAUUAAUUAAAUAAAUCUCAAUUUA